AUUCAUGUACAGUUUUAUUCCUGGGCUGUGAUAACUCUAUUAAGUUAACUCCUCUGCCUCUGUCAGAGUACCAUCCAAGUAGAUAUGGGCUGUCUAGACAUUCCAAUAUCCAAUAGACAUUGAUCUAUUACAUCAUUGACUUCAUGCUUAUCAGGCAGGAUGAGCAGGAGAUACCUAGGUCACUGGAAGCCUUGGUUAGACACCUGCAUUCGGGAAGGUAGGAGAAAAAUUCUUUAAGAAUUCAGGGACACCUGACACCAAGGUGGCAGCAUUGGAACCUACACAAGGACCUAAUAGGGACUCAUAUUUCUCCAGGCCUACUUAGCUACUGUCAUCCCUGAAUGUCCAACUUGCCAUGAGUGCUGUGUCCCCAAUAUAGCUCUAUUCCUCUAGGAGACCAGCAAGUCACUUUGGGGCAGUUUGACUACUUUGGAUCCCUUUUUAUCUUGAAAAGACUGACAGUUGGUCCUUAGAAAAAAAUACUGAUUUCAGGUAUGAGUUUACUUUACCUGCCCACAAUUCUCAGGCAGGACCACUGUCCAGGUACUGACAAAGUACCUGAUCCACAGCCAUGGAAACCCACAUGACAUAGCAAAGGUAACUGACCCUGAUCAGUAAAAGGAGGUGGUGCUGUUUAGACAUAGUGGGGACAGAAAGGGGACGUGGGGAACCCAGGUGGUCUAUUUGAACUUCUUGAUACUCCCUUGCCCAGUUGUGAGUGCACACAUGCAGCAACCCUGACCUCAGAAAGAAAUGACUAGCAAGGGCUCAGACCCAUGAAGAAUGAAGAUUUGUCUGGUCACACCACCAGGUUAACUACAAAGCCUUGGCAAGAAGAUAACUAUGAAUGAGGUGCAUUUUCAAUGAAAAGUGGAGAGGGAAUACAAUAUCUGAUGCAGACUUGAGACCAAAUGAAGCAGCUCUGUUCAUCCCACUAUCCACCAUCUUCUAAUUUAUUCCUUAGGAAGAGAAAUCCCAGGAACUUUGAAGAAGCUGGGCCCCAGACACAGAUGAAGAAGUGGAUCUGUGCAGCACAAAGGGUUGAUUAUGGAAGCCAUGAAGUCUCUUCUGGUCUCCACGUGAUACAGCAACCUGAGUCCUCCUUGAAACAUUGUUGCCUGGUAAGAAAUGGAUGGAAAGUGACUCUGCAGAAAUCCUAAGUGCAAGCAGACAAGGCAAGAACUUCGAGAGGUGAGAGGAAAUAAAAGAAAUGGUUUCACCCCUUGCUCUGAGGUGCUGGUGGGAAGAGAAUGUGAAGCCUCCUGCAGGAACAUGGAAGAUGGGUCCUGCGACAAGGAGGGAGAAAGGCUAUCAGGGUUAUCUCUGUCAACACCAGUGAUUUUAGAGAGAAUGACAAAUAUAGAAGAUGUGGAAGACAAGUACUGGACAUGUCCUGAUCAAGACAAAUAUUGAAAGGAACACAGAUGGGAAAAAAUUGAUCCUAACUGGAAGCUAUAUGGCUGCCAUGAAAAUUAAAUCCUGUUAAAUAGUGCCAGAGGCAGCUGGAAGAAUUCCUACAUUUUGACCACAUCGUUCACCCCUACAGAUAAAGGAAAGAAGACCAAGAGACAAAUGGAGAGAGGUACACAGAUAGACUACAUUUCCUGACCUUCCUUGCAAUUAAAUGUGGCCACAUGGGUGAAUUGUAGUCAGUGGAAUAUGAGCAGAAGUGAUGUGUACCUUGGAGGACUAUCUCAUGAAGAUCUCCCAGACCCCCACCCUCUCAUAUGGACUACUUUAUUCUGAAAUGAAGAUACUCCAAUUCAUGUGUAUUUUAAGGAGAGAGUCUCCAUCAUGGGGGCAAGUAUAUCAUGAUGUAUCGUGUAUUAUUUUUCAUAAGUUAGCUCUUUCCCUUUGUUUGAAGAGUCAAUCUGGUUGGCAGUAAAAAGGUAAAGAUAUAUUUAUUUUACUACUCAGACUAUUUGAAGUAGGAAGAAUGUGAUGACAACUCUAGGUCAAUAGCUUUAAAAACAUGACCUUUAAAUGAACAAAAAAUUAUCCUGUUGUGAGAAGGGAAUGGUAUUAGUAAAAGAGCAAAGACACAGAUAACUGUGCUACCCAUCUGCUUCUGCAAAGGAAGUGAUUGAACUUUCUAAAAGGACUCCAAGGAGGUUCAGUUCCUCAUAAGUGUUGUAUACUGUGCUUCUUUUCUAGGCCUCUUUAUGCCAUGCUUCCAGUUUGUUUUGAGCCCAGAUUUAGCAGCCAUCUCUACUUACUAGACGUAUCAUUUUUGGCAAAUAAUUUAAAUUUUUUGAGUUUCAACAUCUUACCAUAUAAUGUGAACAUUAUCUACUUUAUAGGUUUUAGGAAUAUCAAAUAUGGUAAUGUACUUAAAGUAUUCUAACAUAUGAUCUAUCACAUAAGUAAUCAGUAAUACAGUAUGUUCUGUCUCUCCCUUUCCUCGAUCUUCCUCUCUCUAAGAUAAUUGAAACGAUGCAUCAAUGCCGAGCAAGAUCAAGAAAGGUAGAUCAUAUGUGAUUGCAAGCAAGAAAGUUAAACUCUUCUUGCCAUGUGUGGGUGAGGGUCCUGAGGCAGGACAAGGGUCAACAAUAUGAGUAAAUGGACUGCUUACAAUAUUAAUUGCUUCAAUAACUCUGGUGCUUCUGUUAGGAAAUUAAAUCCUUCAUUAAUGAAUUUUGCCCUCUUUCUAAUUCACACAGGGAAGUAUAGAAUCUAGCCUGGAAGUUUCUCUUUUCCUUUCAGUCAUUGUACAUUUCUGUACUUAUUCUUCAAAGAUAAAGCAGAGUGCAUUAAGUCAAGCAAGUAGAAAAUAAACUGCACGGCAAAAUGCUUUCUCUUUAUUGACAACUAAAUUGAGAUUGACAUAAAGCAGGGAGGUAGACAAUUUAGUCAAAUGAUGAGUGUGACUAAUGUUCUAAGCAAUUUCUAACCAAGUCAAAUCCAGUAUUUUACUGUUUGUUUAAAGCUCCUAGGCUUUUGGUCCAGUUAGUUUGAACAAGAUCCAAUCAGAAUCCUUAAAAAUACACAUAAAGCUAGAAACAAACAAGCUAGGUAAAAAAAUGAGGUAAAGGAGUUAAUGUCUUGUAUAUUUUCUAUCUGAUUAAGCUAACUUCUUAUAGACAUGUCAUAUUGUCUCUAUCUCCAUCUAUAAAAUGGGAUUAUACAGUCAUAUUAUUGAAAGGAGACUCCAAAAAUUCUUCAGUAUGUGGUCCUGUCUUUCAACAGGUCAAAGGUCCUAAAUCAGUUAGUAUCAAACCUGCUCAUGUAGCUAGUGCCCUUCAUUGCUCAUCCACUCUAGUAUCUAAUAAUCCAAAUAGUGAGAAAUUAAAAAAAAAAAACACAAAUAGGUUAUGGUUUCUUUUUAAUCCAUAUAAUGUGUCCAGUUCAGUUCAGUUAACAUCAGCAAACCUCCACUGCUUACGUUUAUUACCAUGUGCAGACCAGGGAGUAGGUGCUAUCAUUUAUUCAGGUCAAUCAUGGUGCCAGUAAGGGCACAUUUGUCAAAUCAAGCUCAAAUAGUCCAGUUAAUAGAGAUCUAUUAUCUAGUCAUAAAAUGCUUUCUCAAACCUGGAACUACAAAAUUAAACACAUCCAUUCCUUGGAGAACAGGAAGACCAAGCAAGAGCUUAUGGUUCCACUAGACAAAAGAAUCAAGGCAUGAACCUUAAAAGAAGAUCUGUUGCCCUCUAAGGGAAAGACACAGCCAUCUACCCACUAUCAUUCCAUCAAGUUCUCUCUUUGCAUACCUGAUGGAGAAAUUCUGAUCGUUGUAAUGCUGAGCUUUUUGAAGCUUUAGUCAAAUUUCAAGUUCUUCAGUUUACUACCACAUUCCAAAAGCAGUCCACAUGGUAGGACUUAGGAGUUUCACUUCUAACCCUUAAAAGGCAACAGCUCUUCAAUUAUCUUGGCUUACCAGUCUCACUUAUUCUUAGGCCAACACCUUCUAAACACAGGCCUUAUAUUACAUCCUUCCUCAUAGUUUACCCUAAGGAAUACCAUAUAUAAAUACUUUUUUUUUAAAUAAAAGUGUCCCCUUUUGCUGUAAAUAAUUUUUAUAUUGGAAGAACCUCAACUGCCCAAGAACAAUAAAAGGUAAGGAGAGACAGAGGCCAGUUGGUAGACUCUGAUUGCCAAAGGUUUAAAAAAGUGAUUUGCUCUAAAGUAAGAUACCUAAUACUAAAUUUUUAUCACUGAUGUCUUUAAAUUGCUUUUUUUAUGUGAAUAUUACAUUUUUGAUCCCAUCAAUGCAGUCUGAGUUGUUGAGUUUGAUAACUGACUGACUUUGAAAUUGAGGGUGUGAGGGGGAAUCUUUAGUAAUUGAAAAUUUUUAUAGACUCUGUUAGUAAUUACUGUAGUUUCAUAAGAUUUUUAAGUACUAAAAUUUAAAAAGAAAUUGGGACUUCGGGGUAUAGUGUAAAAUUGAUUUUAUUGUAUCAAAUUACUCUGAAUUUUUCUACAAUUUUUACAUAGUUAGAAAGAACACAUAGGCUAUAAACUUCUGAGCUUAAAUUUUUUAAAGAACUUAUUCCAUCAAUUUUCUGGCAUAGAUGCACAUUUUGCACAAAAGCACAACCUCUACAAGAGUUGCUAAACUGGUCAUAUUUUCUGUGGCCAUGCAGAGAAGUAAGAAUUAUAUAAUCAUGUUUUAUUUUUUUCUUUUCACUUGGAAUAUUAAAAAUAGAAUUGAAGAUUUUACUUGUGACUGCCAAGUCCUAAGCAUGGGUUGACACCUAUCAAAACGAAAAUGCAGGCAAUCCUCAUUGUUUAUUAAUUUUGUGCUCUCAAAUUCACCUACUUGCUAAGAGUUAUUUGUAACCCCCAAGUCACUCUCCGCUAAGCUCUCGAGGUUGUUCACAGACGCAGGGAGCAAUAAAAUAUUUGAGUCAUCCAGUGGCCACAUCCCAGCUGAGGUUGAACAAGGCAACAUUCUGCCUUCUUGAUUUAGCUCUCGCAUUAUAAACAAGUGUCUUUUUGUGGUCUAUUUGGUGCCACAUUUUUCACAUUUUUUGUGCUUUUUCUUGGUCAUUUCGCUAUUUAAAAUAUCCCCAAGCAAAGUAAUAAAGUUCUGUCUAGCGUUGCUCAGCACAGAAAGGCCUAAUGUGCUUUAAAGGAGAAAUGCAUAUAUUAGAUAAGCUUCUUUCAGGCCAAGUUAUGGUGCUGGAGGCCAUGAAUUCAGUGUUCACGAAUUGACUGUAUCUAUUAAAUAAGGUGUCCUUAAACACAAACACACAUAAAAGCAAGUUAUGUAUUGAUCAAUCACAAGACGUCACUGUUGUGACCAGAGGCUCGCAGGGACCUAUCCCUGUUUUCUCCUAGUGCAGUAUUCAUUAACUCACUGUUCGUGGCAACUUUAGAGACACUACUACCGCAAAUAACGAGAAUCUUCUGCAAAUACUUGUGGUCAGAAUUAGUCCAGGGAUGAUCAGACCAUGGGAAUACUCUCAAGUUACACUUCAUUGUGAUCUCAUGGCUGCCUUAAGUUGAUCUUUUACUACCUCCCACUCAGCCAAGAGCUUUGAUCACUUUACCUUCCACUCCUACCUCAUCUUCAUAACCACAUGUUAACUUGGGAUCUCCUCGUUAAUAUAAUAGGAUCAAAUCCCUAUAGAUAUCUGAAGUCCCCCUUGGCAUUGUUAUAAACACUCAAGGAUUGUACAUUUUCUGCUCACCUCUCAUUCAUUCGACUCGUUCUGAUAAUGUCAUUCAGUCUAUGGACUGCCUCACUCUGCUAUUUCCAUGAAAAUCAUAAAUAAACAAAAAUUUCAUAUAAGCAUGAAUUUAGUAUUAUUCCCUGAAGUUUGAGGGCUGUGGAACACAACAAAAUUAUAGAUCAGGUAAACAAGCAACUUUAUAGUGAACAUUAAGCAUUAUUAUCAUUAUUAG